rnacentral:lncRNA from 1 species
GGAGAGACUGCUCUAGUGAUGAGAGUGAGGGAGAUCUGGUGGGCUGACCAACCCUGCUACUGUCCAGACCCAGAACCCGGGGUAUGAGUUGGAUCAUCCCAAUAUCCACCCCAUCUAUGAUCUGCUGGAGUACAAGAAGGGGCUGGUCUUGCAUAUCCAAAGCUUCAGGAUCUCCAUGACACAAGCAACAGCAGGAUGGAUGUCCAAGAAGAGUCUCAGUGAGGGCCCAGAAGGAGCCAGAGGCCUCGAACCAGACCAAUGACUCAUUGCAGUGAACACUUGCAAGUACAGCUGUGUGGACUAAAGGACUACAGAAGCAACAAUUCUCCAACAUAUUUUGGAUUGGUAUGGACUUUUGCAUGAUGCCCUCAUCCAGCUGCUGGUGGGAGUAGAAGCAGACACCCACAACUAACCACUGAACUGAAAUCCAGAUGCAGAGAAGGACGAG